AUGAACAAAACGGAGAAGGCAACGGAUGUGAGCUUUACAAUUGAUGAUGGCACCGGGCGUGUCAGUGUAAUCAGAUGGGUUAAUGACACUGCAGAUGCAAAUGAAGUGGCUGUGAUUCAGAAUGGCAUGUACGUUACACUCAUUGGGACCUUAAAGGACUUCCAGGGUAAAGUGCAAAUAUCAGCUUUCUCAAUUCG